rnacentral:rRNA from 1 species
AGUGAACGCUGGCGGUAGGCCUAACACAUGCGAGUCGAACGGCAGCACAGUAAGAGCUUGCUCUUACGGGUGGCGAGUGGCGGACGGGUGAGGAAUACAUCGGAAUCUACUUUUUCGUGGGGGAUAACGUAGGGAAACUUACGCUAAUACCGCAUACGACCUACGGGUGAAAGCAGGGGAUCUUCGGACCUUGCGCGAUAGAAUGAGCCGAUGUCGGAUUAGCUAGUUGGCGGGGUAAAGGCCCACCAAGGCGACGAUCCGUAGCUGGUCUGAGAGGAUGAUCAGCCACACUGGAACUGAGACACGGUCCAGACUCCUACGGGAGGCAGCAGUGGGGAAUAUUGGACAAUGGGCGCAAGCCUGAUCCAGCCAUACCGCGUGGGUGAAGAAGGCCUUCGGGUUGUAAAGCCCUUUUGUUGGGAAAGAAAAGCAGCAGGUUAAUACCCCGCUGUUCUGACGGUACCCAAAGAAUAAGCACCGGCUAACUUCGUG